GUAACGGUGCCCAGGCUUCCAGACUCUCCCACGCGGGCACGAUGCCAGAUGUGAGUAUUGUGAUGGAUUGUGCAUGGCCAUAUCUACCGGUAUAAGCAUCCAUAAAGCGCACAGCGGGGCACGGAAGAAAGAAGGGGGAUUUGAGAGUCAGAGGAGCAGUCCUGACACUACCCGUGUGCCCUUGGACAAGCUAUUGCUAUGUAGCAAUAUGAAGUCACACAUACCAAAGAUCUGGAUGUGCUGAACACCAAAGGCCUUGGAACUUCCAAAUGGUUCAACAUCAGAAAUAGAUAUGGUUUAUUGGAUCAUAAUCUCCUUGAGGUAAGGGACUGCCUCAUGGUUCUUUUGGUAUCCCUAAUACCCAGAACACUGCCUGGCAUAUAGCAGAGGUUUAAUAUAUAUUUAUUAAUGAUGAUGAUGGUAAAGAAAAUACAUGUCCAUGCUGUGACAAAGGGACCUUCAGGCCACUGAGAUUUUCCAUUUGUUUUAUAGUUGAAACUUCGUAUUUGUGUUAAUCCUUCCCCAUGCCCCAUUAGAUUCUUGAGGAGCAGGUACUGUUUUGCCUUUAUACAUUCUCAGAAUGUGGUACAAUGUUUCACAUCCAGUAAGUACUUAAUAAUUAUUUUUUUUUCAUAUAUCCAUUCAAUCACUCAUUCAUUCAUCCAUCAACUAGAAAGAAGUAGUCCUCCAUUCAGGCAUCUACCACAUCCAUUCACACAUUAAAUAGGGCUGGAAAGUUCUUUCCUGAAACUUUCUAACCUUUCCUGAUUUGGUCUGAGUAGCGAU
rnacentral:lncRNA from 1 species